GGCAAGAUGGCCGAGCGGUCUAAGGCGCUAGGGUCAGGCUACCUGAUCUCACAUAUCCCGCAAUAAAAGCGGAAUAUUCCUAGUCUCGAAAGGGGCGUGGGUUCGAAUCCCACUCUUGUCA
rnacentral:tRNA from 1 species